GGGUUUGAGCCACUCCGAAACAGAGGACACGAGGCUGUGCACUCCCUUUCCUCAAGCAGUUUUCUUCCUUCCAGCCGGAGUCCAUGCCAUCCGUGGAACUGAUUUCUGGGUGCCUGAUUGUUGAUGAGGACACGGGGAUGGAGGGGCUUACCAAUCUGGGCUUCUUCCAGAGCUGAAAACUGAUUACAAAUAUGAAACAGAUUUCACUACUGGACUUGAACUCCACAUUAGAAAACAACAAGAUCCUCAAAAUAAUUGAAAAGAUUCUCAACAAAGAGCAAAUGCAACAUGAAUGGCAGGAUGUCAAGAAGAAAACACAAUGAAAAAAGGAGCCCAAGGAUUUGAGAGAAGGUUUGAAGCAUAAUGAUGGAGGAAUAUCACUCUGAGGAGAAAUCAAAAUUCUUUCUCCUCCUGAUUCACCUGAAUGUGCAGUGCCCAGUGAAAGUGAUAAGAGAGGAUGGUGUUUGUGACGAAUCCACAUGCACUGAAGUUGUCACCUUUCUAAAACAGAUGCCAUUGUAGGUGCUUUUCCAACUCUCUUCCCUGUACGCACAGUGUGGUAUACUUUGGCAGGCCUUCCAUUUCAUUUUUAACCCUCAAAUGCGCUGAAACAAAGCUGAGCAUACAGUACAAAUGGAAUGCAUAGAAGUGAAUAAAUGCAAAGAGAAACAUUUAUUUAGCCUCAGGAGGAUAGACAAAUAGGUCUUUCUUAAAUUGGUAUAUAAGUAUAGAAUAUUGAGUCAUUCUUUAUGUGAAUAUUUACUCAUUUUAGAGAAAUUUUCCAAUCUGGAGGAUAUUCCUUUUCUUGCCAAUAAGACACAGAAGGAAAAUUUAAAAUAUUUGCAGCUCUUCCUCUGGAAUUUUGUCCUAAUUUUGUCUCUCUCUCUCCCCUUGAUAUCUCUUGCUAUGAAUAUCAUUCUUGUAUUUUUCUUCCAUUUAAUCAAGGAAACAUAGUGAUUAUCAAAGACAAACAGACAAGAUCAAAACAGUGCUUGACCUUUCUCCACGAAAUGCUUCCAAACUUGUUUAGAUAUAAUGCUCUUGAAGGCAAAACGCAUGUCUAUUUUAUCUUUCUUGGUCUAGCACAUAUUAGGUACACAGUAAAUUAUCUGAGUAUACUAAUGAACAACAAAACAGGAAUGGAUGAGGAAAGUAGUUGCUUUGUUAAGGCUCUUAAAAAAAGAUUUAUAGAAUUUGGAAAUGGUCCCACUUUAUUUCCAAAAGAAAUUUUACUUUCAAAUUUAAAAAAAAAUUCACCCAAAUGAGAUUUUUGGGGAUUUCAUGUGAUUAACUCUUUACAUUAUCAUGUACUAAUUACACAGAAAUCUGUUUAUGUAAACACAGUGAAUUCAUCAUAACACUAGAAUAAGUCUACAAAUAGUGCAUGUCAAAUUAGGUUAUAAUCACUUUCAAGGGACGUGAUUUCCUAGUUAAACAGAUUCGUUUACAUCUUGUGAAAUAAAAAAUAAGUGAAAAUAACUAUAUAGAAUCAGCUUACAGCUGGACAGAUCUUCUUGGCAAUGGUCCAGGCACUGAGUGGGGAAAGCCCCACCAGCUGAGGAAGGCUCAGGAUGCCCAGCAUGACUUUGCAGCUCGGCCUGGAAGGGGGCCUUUGGCUGCUGUCCGGGAUGCACUUCCUGUCUCUGGCUGGCUGGGGGGUAGAUGGGCCACCUUAACCUUUAACAUGAGACUCUUGCUGGGAAGUGGCUGGGGUGGGGCAGAACGAGUAGAAUGGAAACUUGCUCAACAGAGGAAAAAACAAAGUUAGUUCAAUAUUUUCACCCUUAAGUAAAACCAUAAUAGAAUAAGUCAAGGCUCCUCUAACCUAAACACAAAUAAUUGAAGCUAGCAUUUGAAUCAUAAGAUUGAGAGUCAGGGUUUGAGUACCAGGGAUCAUCUGGGCCGACCCUUGUGAUAAAGAUGAAAAAACCAACCACAAAGCGAAGAGCAGCACCAAGCCUGAGACCAGUAACUUGUUUCCCCAUUUCUGGUGCUCAUUUGUGAGAUAACUGAAACUCAUCCUUUCAAGAAGGAUGAUUUCUCUUAAAUGCCGCUCAUUUUGAUGCAGAUCUUUAAAAAGUACAUUUCACAUCAUCUUGAUGUUGGCAACACUUUCUACACUGUUCCCUUAUUUCAAAGGCAGAAGGGUGUCAUUGUAAACCUCAGUUAUUACUGGUAUUGUACCAUGGUGGUGCUCUCUGGCUAAUUGUCAGAGCAAUUAGCUAAGCUUCGUAAGCAGGGUGCAUUUGGUUAUCUUUCCUGUGUCUUGUCAUAUUCACCUACUACUUAUUUUUGUUAAUUACAAGAAGUCACCAAAACAGUGAUUUUUUUUAAACUCAUAGAUUCCGUCUUGGAGGGAGCUCCAUGUUUCUGGUAUUGAGGAAAGUUGGUUUUGUUUUUAGUUUAAUUGACACUCAUUUUUGUUCAAAAUAUAUUUGUUUAAUACUUACUCUGUUCAGUGCUUUGCAUACAUUAGCUUCUUCCCGCAUCCCAUUGGUUGAGUUGUCUUGGGCAGAGCUUGUGAAUGAGCAAAGAGCAAAGUAUGCCCUAUAAGCCAAAUCUGGCCUCCUGCCUGGUUUUGCAAAUAAAAUUUUAUUGGAACACAGUCACACUCAUUUGUUUGCCUAUUGUCUGUGGCUGUUUUUGCACCACGGCCGAGCUGAGUAGUUGUGAUAGCGACUCUAUGGUCCAUAAAGACUAAAAUAUUUUCAAUUUGGCACUUAACAGCAAAUUUUGCCAACCCAUGGUCUUGAGGGUAAACACUGGAUCAUCUAGCUGGCUUGAUAAGAAAGCCAAAUAAAAUAGCUGACACUAAACUGUCGCCACACGGAGCCCUGCUCAUGUUCACGUGUUUGUGGCCAUGAGUCAUAACCACAGCACUAAACAGUGAGGAGAGAACCAGAAAAAUUCUUGUCUUCUGAGAAAUGCAAAGCUUUGCCAGAUUCAUUUAAAUGAUUUUCAAACCCUGUUCCUAGAACCAUCCCUAAUCUGUACUAAUACUACGAAUGUGUAGCUUUUGCCUUACAAAUUUAUUGUUAUUUCUUUUUUUUCAGGAAAAAGGUAAUUACGCUAUAAACAGAGGACUGACAACUAAUUUCAGUCAAGGCAAAAUUAAUACAAAGCAAGCAGAUAAUUUUAGUCAUGUGAAAUUAAAAUAGAUAUAUUUUAAUGACAUUCUAAAAAAUCCCACUCUAAUUUUUUGCUCUUUGUUUUCCCCUACCUUCUCCGGUUUUCUUGUGACCCCCCUACUCUGUGUAGAUAGCAAGGUGUGCUAAUUUAGGUGAACUACCAGCUGGCAGCUCUCACUGCCCUCACCGCUCCUUCCUCCUGGCCCCACUGUGAUCUUUGCGUGGACAGCUGCUUCUUCCCUCGCCUUCUCAGGGGCUCCUCUGUGCAAAGAAAUAGGACCAUCUGAGGGAAGGUGGUCACUGCCCAUCCCUUAAAUUUUCAAAUUGUCAUUGAUAUGAAUAAGAGCUGGUAUGCUAAAUCUGUCUCAGAGCUUCAAGAAUUCAAAGGUUAGUGGUAUUGUGGACGUGGGUGUGCCCAUGUGCAUGUUUUCUGGGGGGAGAUGCCAACCUUGCUGUGUUCUGUCACUCCAGGAGCAUAUUAAAUACGCAUUCAAUGGCAGCAGCACCUUGAGAUGUUCUCUCCAAAAUUAUCACCUGUCUUCUGAAAACCAUAACCCUAAAAAUAUUGAUUGGUUAAAAGGCAGAAUCUGAAGGAAUGAGUCAGUGCCUCUGUGAAUUAUCCUAAUCAAAUAAAGAUAGUAUUAACCUAGAUGCUUGCUGAUCUGCCAGUAUUUGGUUUGAAAUGUAGGCAUCUCAACUGAAGUUAUGUGUUUCAUUCUUUUGAAUAUUUCUCCCAGACAUUUAAAUACAUUACCACUAAGCCAGAACCAAGAAAAGCAUAAAAAGCAUUUUAGGGAAUAAAUUCAGCAAGUUUCCAUUUGUACCAGAUAGUAAAAUUAUUGACAUGCAUUAUGAGGCAUGUGUAUUUUUCAGCCUGUCACGUUUCAAUCACAUGCUCAAGGUGGAGUAUUUUGGCUGCCAGGGGUUAUGCGGAAAGGUCUCAAACCAUUUAGGUAGUAGUGCUUCCUAAUAAACAGAGAAAUUACAAGUCGCCCAGCAUAGCUUUUUAGGCAAGUCAGAAGAAAAGCUUCUUCCAUUAAUUAUGCUAUGAAUGUAACAUCAGUGAAGGGUAGCCAGCUAAAUAUAAGAUGAAAGGACUGGUAGGGAUUCUCUCCACUGAAUUGUUGAGCUUUACGCAAUUUUAUUUAGAGGCACUUCCAUUACUAAGGAGGCUAUGAGUUGAUCGACUGUGUCUUAGAAUUAACUACGGUGGUGAAAACACAAAUUGUAAACCAGCGUGAAGUCACAAAGGGAAGGGAGGAAAGAGAAGCAGCAGAAGUCAGGGACUCAUAUGUGCUCUUCAUUUUCCUGUACGGAAGUAAGUAUUGGACCAGCUGCCUGGAGUCCGACAUCCGCCCGAGCAAGCCUAAUUACUGUUAGGCAGAGGGCCUAAUGAGAAGUGCCACGUUCACGGCCUUCCUUUCUGUUCUCGUUUGCUUCUGUUUUCAGAGGAGUCUGGCGGUUUGUUGGAGGCAAACGAUUACGUUCCCUCUGCUCAGCACACUAGAAUGACAUAUGGGUGGUAAGGAAAGGGAGGACCCGGAUGGGAAAGUGUCUUGGCCAGAGACCGUUUGUGUGGGCCACCGAGCAAGGUUCCAGCAUCAUACUGCUGUCAGAGUCGGGGCCGGGGCUGAGGGCUCGCCUAAGGCCUCACCGUGGAUGAGGCCUUUUGUGGGCGCUCCCCAUUCCUCCCAGGGAGUGUCGGUUAUGGCAUUCGCAGGGCCCCCUGGUCCUUGCCAGCAGAGACUAGCACAGAUCAAAAUUAAGCUUUAAACUGCACAAGAGAGAAUACUUUUUUCUUUUUUCCCGAUUUCUUGGCUGAUAUUUCUCAAGAUUCGGGGAAGAUUCCGUUUCCCACAAAUGGCCAUGACAGAAUGUCCUCAGGAGAUCACUCAUCACAGUCUGCAUAGACUAAUGUUGUGUACAUCCGUGUGUUUCCCAUGGUGACAUCAGGACAUAUUUGGUGACUAAACCAAUAAUUGUUAAAUAAACCCUGAAGACAUUUAGCUUUUAUUUGCUUAUCUCUUUCAGUUUACCAAGUACUUCUACAACUUCUGGCUCUUUGCUAUUUAGAAGAUAAACCCACACAGCCGGGCAAAAUUUGUUACUAUUAACCUCAUUUGAGACAUGAGGAGACAGACUCCAUGGCAAAGCUCUGGCACAAGUUAGGUAGCUGGUUUAACUGCAAGAUUCUUAACUCAAACUCUUUAUUCUAGAUUUGUAAGCAUUAUGCUAAGUUUCUUGUCAGUGUAUAAAAUCUUCAAAACCUUUAUCCAGUGCAGAAAUCAUGUUUUCUAUUGGCUGUUUAACUCUGGAGACCCCACAUCAGAAUAAAGCCAGUUGAGAUCCCCAAAGCAUAUCCAGAUGGCUAGGAGUAGUGGUGUGCUGGAGCUGACUCUGCUCCCAAGGGCCAGUGGAGCCCAUCCCUUUCACUUCCAGGUUCAGUGAUACUAUGUUAGUACCCUGAAAUGACAGGAGUGUUCACACCAUACAAAUCAGCAACACUACAAGUCAGAAGGAGCUCGUUACUCACCUCCCAGAAGAGAUGGUUGUCAAACAUUAUACGGUUAGAAAUCUGGGCACCCAGGCAAAGAACUUGCAGCAGGUUUCUUGAUGCUUAGAAUACAUUCCAAUGUGCUUCAUUUGUAAGACACCAGGUUUCUUGGGGAAUUCUUUUAAGUACAUCCUUUUACAGUCUUUUGAAACUGCACAUAGGAGAACAUCAGAAUAUCUUCUCCAAGAGUGAGAGUGAGGUCUGGGAAUAAAAUUAGCUGCUUGUUUAAGGCUAUGGGUGUUUGUGAACAUGCAAGUGUGCUUUAAAUUACACGUAAUUUUAAACAACUAUGUAAAAAGAGUUUUAAAAGUUUAAUGGUGCUGAACCAAGAAUAAGAAUUAAAAAUUGAAAAGAAAAUACGAAACUAUACCUUGUUUCUCUGCUUUAAAAAAUAAGUUUCCUUCUCAUUUGCAAUUAAAAUGCAAGGAUUUGCAUAAAAUGUAAAAUUAGAGAUAAUUGAACUACAGUAGCUAUAAAAAUGGCUUUUCCACUUAAAAAAUAAAUCAGAUGUCCACUAAGAGGGUAUAAGAGCCUUCUCCCUCAGCCCCCCUCCGCCAUUUGAGUCUCUGGUAUUUUUCACACUUUUAUAGCUGAUUUUUAUUGCCACACAGUCCACAGAGUUUGUGGCAGCCCUGAGACAGCAGCUGGCCCAGGCAGGCCUGUUAACUCUGGCAUGUUAAGGACCGUUCAGAAGAUUUCAAAUCCAGCCCCAGCUCCCAGGUCAGUAGAUCAAAU